AGCUCCAAUAGCGUAUAUUAAAGUUGUUGCAGUUAAAAAGCUCGUAGUUGGAUUUCUGGUGGGAGGGAUCGGUCUUGCAUUCUUUGUAAGCACUUGUAUCCUCUCCGGCCAUCCUUGGGUGGAUCUUGUCUGGCAUUAAGUUGUCAGGCAGGGGAUGCCCAUCGUUUACUGUGAAAAAAUUAGAGUGUUCAAAGCAGGCUUAUGCCAUUGAAUAUAUUAGCAUGGAAUAAUAAGAUAGGGCCCUGGUACUAUUUUGUUGGUUUGCGUACCGAGGUAAUGAUUAAUAGGGACAGUUGGGGGUAUUUGUAUUCAGUAUUCAGUGGUGAAAUACUUAGACCUACGGAAGACAAACUACUGCGAAAGCAUUUACCAAGGAUGUUUUCAUUAAUCAAGAACGAAA
rnacentral:rRNA from 1 species